UAUCCAACCUCCCGCAUACUGGGGGAUAGCCUUCUGAAAGGAAGAUUAAUACCCGAUGGUAUCUCAAGAGCACAUGCAAUUAAGAUUAAAGAAUUUCGGUAUGCGAUGGGGAUGCGUUCCAUUAGGUAGUAGGCGGGGUAACGGCCCACCUAGCCAUCGAUGGAUAGGGGUUCUGAGAGGAAGGUCCCCCACAUUGGAACUGAGACACGGUCCAAACUCCUACGGGAGGCAGCAGUGAGGAAUAUUGGUCAAUGGGCGCGAGCCUGAACCAGCCAGGUAGCGUGAAGGAUGACUGCCCUAUGGGUUGUAAACUUCUUUUGUCCGGGAAUAAAACCGCCUACGUGUAGGCGCUUGUAUGUACCGGUACGAAUAAGCAUCGGCUAACUCCGUGCCAGCAGCCGCGGUAAUACGGAGGAUGCGAGCGUUAUCCGGAUUUAUUGGGUUUAAAGGGAGCGCAGACGGGUUUUUAAGUCAGCUGUGAAAGUUUGGGGUUCAACCUUAAAAUUGCAGUUGAUACUGGAGACCUUGAGUGCAGUUGAGGCAGGCGGAAUUCGUGGUGUAGCGGUGAAAUGCUUAGAUAUCACGA
rnacentral:rRNA from 1 species